GACGAACGCUGGCGGCGUGCCUAAUACAUGCAAGUCGAGCGAACGGAGGAGAGCUUGCUCUCCGAAGUUAGCGGCGGACGGGUGAGUAACACGUGGGCAACCUGCCUAUAAGACUGGGAUAACUUCGGGAAACCGGAGCUAAUACCGGAUAGAUUCUUUCCUCUCAUGAGGAAAGAAGGAAAGAUGGUUUCGGCUAUCACUUAUAGAUGGGCCCGCGGCGCAUUAGCUAGUUGGUAAGGUAACGGCUUACCAAGGCGACGAUGCGUAGCCGACCUGAGAGGGUGAUCGGCCACACUGGGACUGAGACACGGCCCAGACUCCUACGGGAGGCAGCAGUAGGGAAUCUUCCGCAAUGGACGAAAGUCUGACGGAGCAACGCCGCGUGAACGAUGAAGGCCUUCGGGUCGUAAAGUUCUGUUGUUAGGGAAGAACAAGUAUGAGAGUAACUGCUCGUACCUUGACGGUACCUAACCAGAAAGCCACGGCUAACUACGUGCCAGCAGCCGCAGUAAGAC
rnacentral:rRNA from 1 species